AUGAGAGAAGAGCAAGCACCUAUGUCGGCGAGGAGAUCCUCGUCGCGGCCGUGGCAGGGCGUCUGUGCAGCUGCACCUGUCUUGGGAACAGCACGUCGUCGUGGCCGUCGUCGAGUGACUCGGCGACCUCGUCGUCGCGGCCGUAGUCGGAUGCCUCGGCGGCUGCGCAGGGCAGCGACGUCGCGGCCGUCGUCGGUGCGGCCGUCGUCGGAUGCCUCGGCGGCUGCGCAGGGCAGCGACGUCGCGGCCGUUGUCGGGUGCCUCAGCGGCUGCGCAGGGGCAUGUAAUCUGGACGUCGAGCCUGGAUUGAUUCCGGCAAAUUGA
rnacentral:rRNA from 1 species